CCUGAGCCUGCCAGACGUUCUGUACCUUGUCACACCACACUGGAUUACUGACCUCUGCCUGCCCUUGACCUGUCAUUUUGCCUGCCCCCUGUUCUAGUAAUACACUUUUGUUACUUUGACACUGUCUGCAUCUGGGUCUUCCCUAAAAUGUGAUAUUAGCAUAAUUCAGGGUACCCCGAAACUGGAGGGGAUGGCCUGCACUAAAGCUUGGUUAGGUGCAGUCUCGGGGGCUGGCAUAGGUGUAGAGGAGUGGUGCUUGGUGGAUAGAACUGGAACUAGAGCACUGGUGGAUGGGCAAUUGAACUUAUUCCAGAGGCUGCUCCAAAACACCGCCGGCGGAGAAGAGGUAUUCAGAGUGGACUUCUAGUCCGACUCAGGAGGCCUGCACACCAUCCACCACAUCCGAGUAUAUUACUCGCUAAGGUUCAGUGUCUGGAUAACAAAGUAGACGAGCUCAGGGCGAGGAUCUCCUUCCAGAGAGACAUUAUGGAUUGUAACAUACUCUGUUUCACGGAAAUAUGGCUCUCUCGGGAUAGUACAUCAGUAUAUCACGCAGACAGG
rnacentral:lncRNA from 1 species